GCAGCCUAUGAUGAGAACAUCUCCCACUUACGUUCGAGUUUCCCAACUAUGAGACGACACUCCAUGCACUACCAUCUGAGGCUGC